CUAAGUUCAUACCGCCGUGGUGCACGGGAAUCCGGUGGAAGACCGGAGCGGCCCUCGCCACUGUGAUUCGGGAAGUGCUGUGCCGUGCGAGCACGCAGGCCACUGGAGCACACGCUCCGGGAAGGCCGGCACAGCGCGUAGGACCCGUCAGCCAGGAGACCGGCCACGGCACCGUGCGACUC
rnacentral:ncRNA from 2 species